CUCUCGGUAGCCAAGUUGGUUUAAGGCGCAAGACUUUAAUUUACCACUACGAAAUCUUGAGAUCGGGCGUUCGACUCGCCCCCGGGAGA
rnacentral:tRNA from 1 species